CAUACUAAGUCUAUUUGUAUUGCAAAAAUAUUUAUAUUUAACUCAUUUCUCUAAAUGAGACUAUAGAGAUUUUUGCUAUGCAUUAGGCUGGAGCCGUCA
rnacentral:pre_miRNA from 1 species